AGCAGUUCGCCACAGCCACGGUGCUCUGCGCAAGUGCAUUCGUAAAACUAGUUAUUUAAUUCCAUGAAAUAUGGAGUAAAUUGAAAUCAUUGAACGGAAUACCAGAAGGAUCACUGGAAUGUAAAAAUGGAAUAGAAGAUACUUUCAAGAUCAGCACAUGCUGACGAGGUUCACUAUGAAUGGAAGUAAAUCCCUGCAACAAUGCUCCAACAUCAAGUAUAAAGCCUUCCCAGAAGAGUGGAGGUUGUUAUAACAGCAAAGGGUGGACAAACUCCAUAGUAAUUCCCAUCAUUUUGGAUGAGAUGUUGGAUGUCAGGUGUCCACAUACUGUUGGCCAUGUAGUGUAUAUUAAUAAUAUUGUGAGCAUUCAGAGAAAAUAUUUUGUGUGUGUGUGUAAACCAUUUAACUUCAACAGAAAUGUACACGUUGUCAUAAAGAAUAGGGUAACGAUAUGAUAAGAUCAAUGACAGGUAGUCCUGCAGGGUAGUGGGUAAUUGCCCAUAGCAUAGUCCAGGGAGGGUGGGCUACAGUCAGCAGAGAAUCCCUGUCUCAUUACACAAGAGGGGCUCAUUUUCUCCAAUGACUGCACAGUUUACUAGGUGAACUGCUGUACUGCAGAGUGAAAAUAAGUAACAGCCCUCUGAAAAUUUAAUAGGGAAUUCCAAAGUGAGAGGAAAAAGGAAUAAGGGUCACAUCAGUGUUUACAUUUCAAAAAUGUACAACAAUCACAUUUCAGAGUUAAAUUAUGCACUUAGCACACAGUCGUAAGUUAAGCCCCCACAAAAAGCACUAAGAAAAUAUAAAGCAUUUAAUUGCAGAUUAGGGUUCAUGGACAGUUUCUUUGCCAUCAUCUGAAAAUACACUUAAUGGUCAAAUUCCAACUUCAGCCUACAAAAAAAAAAGAAA